rnacentral:rRNA from 1 species
CACGUAGGGGGCAAGCGUUGUCCGGAUUCAUUGGGCGUAAAGAGCGUGUAGGCGGCCAGGUAGGUCGGUUGUGAAAACUGGAGGCUCAACCUUCAGAGGUCGACCGAAACCAUCUGGCUGGAGUCCGGGAGAGGAGAGUGGAAUUCCUGGUGUAGCGGUGAAAUGCGCAGAUAUCAGGAAGAACACCCGUGGCGAAAGCGGCUCUCUGGAACGGUACUGACGCUGAGACGCGAAAGCGUGGGGAGCGAACAGG